UUAAGUAUUGUAGCAAUGAGGUUUCAUCACAUGCACCUGGCAGGCUAGAUGUUGACACACACUGGCAGGCUGCGUUGUGACACGGGAGAAGAAUUGAACGUUUUGAAUUUGACUAGGUUGUCAAUGAUGAGAAAAUUUUACAUUAUUUGUCAUUACAUUUUAUUGUCAGAAGAAUUUUAGCUUUCGUGUAAGACACAACACAUGCUAAAUUGGCGCCCAGCUAGUAGGGCCGACCAUGCCCCGAACUAGGCUACGGAGGCAGACGACGGCAGACGACGAAGCUACGGAGCAGAGUCCUGUACGGGCCCCCGAACUUGUCACAGCGCCUCGUCUGACCGUGCCGGCAUAAUGCAGGCGGAUACGACUAGGUGCCCAAUAGAGACGCUGCGGUCGUUGCGCCGACGAAACGCGGUCGAAACGCCGGCGCCUCAUGGCAGUCACCAUCGUCACCGUCGCUGAACAUCACUAAAUAUUCCGCGGGGUUCCCGCGAGGUUCACCGGACUUCUCAAGAAGAGUUCGUCCUGGGACUUCGCCAAGUGUACCGCGGGGUUCACCGGACUUCUCAAGAAGAGUUCGUCCUGGGACUUCGCCAAGUGUACCGCGGGGUUCACCGGACUUCUCAAGAAGAGUUCGUCCUGGAACUUCGCCAAGUGUACCGCGGGGUUCACCGGACUUCUCAAGAAGAGUUCGUCCUGGAACUUCGCCAAGUGUACCGCGGGGUUCACCGGACUUCUCAAGAAGAGUUCGUCCUGGGACUUCGCCAAGUGUACCGCGGGGUUCACCGGACUUCUCAAGAAGAGUUCGUCCUGGGACUUCGCCAAGUGUACCGCGGGGUUCACCGGACUUCUCAAGAAGAGUUCGUCCUGGGACUUCGCCAAGUGUACCGCGGGGUUCACCGGACUU